AUGAGCUUGAGGAGGUUUUUCCGAGCGACCAGGGACGAGGACUUCAGUCAGAUCCAGUAUCUGACGGCCAAAUGCACCAGGCUGGCUCGAGAUAAAGCAGAGCUGGACAGGGAGUGUGUUCUGUCCAGAGAAAAGCAGCGGAUGCUGCAGGAGGAACUGGAAGCUGCAGCUUCUCAGAUCUUUCAUCAGACGCAUCAGAACAUGGAGCUACGGAGGAACCAGGACCGACUGAUCAACAGGAUCCGACAGCAGCAGGAGCUGGUGGAGCUGCUCCAUCAACGUGUGGUCCUCCUGGUGGAGGAGAGCUGUCGGGAUGCAGAGCUGCUACGACAGGUGGGCUCCGAGCUGCUGUGUGUGCAGAACUCUGAGGGGAAGCUGGAGGGCCUGGUGGAGGAGCUGCACCACGAGGCCCAGCGCAGAGCUGCAGAGGCCGAAGGCCUCCAGAUGAAGCUGCACGCAGAGGCCCAGCACAGAGCUGCGCUGACAGAGAGCCUCCUCACAGAGCUGCACGGUAAGACAGUGGAGCUGCAGAAGCUUCAGGCCAUGAACAGAACUCUGACGGACGAGAUGAAGGAUCUACGUAGAUCUCACCACCAGGAGGUGAUGAAGCUGCAGCAGGAGAACAAAGGGAGUCUAAAGAAACUGCAGCAGACAGCAGAGCAGUUUGAGUGGCUUUGUCAGCAGCAGAAACACUGGAUGCUUUGUGUUAAAAGGUUCAAAGACUGUCUGAUGGAGGAGAGGGAAGCUCGAGUACUGGAGAAGAAGACCUUGGAUGACCAAAGACCAUCACCAAGUCUACACUACCGCCCCCUGCUGGACACACAGAACUCUAACAGGCAGGACGACCGAUCAACGGAUACAGGAAACCACCGUGAAGACAGGAGCACGGAGCUCAACCUUCUGUGAACCACAAGAAAACCUCCACAUGUUCGUCCUUCACUGUUUAUCAUCACACCUUUUUUUUCUCCCUUUGAAAACACGACUGAAAUAAAACACAGCACUAAGUUUCUUUCUGUCUUUGU
rnacentral:lncRNA from 1 species